GGUGAGGUGCGAGAGUGGUUUAUCCGGAAGGUCUUGAAAACCUUUGUAGGGAUUCUUCCUUACCGUGGGUUCGAAUCCCACCCUCACCGCCA
rnacentral:tRNA from 3 species